rnacentral:miRNA from 14 species
CGCUGUUUUUCUCCGCGGUGAUA